GACGUGCAGAGAACUUUCCAGAGAUGGAUUGGUGCCUUCGGGAACUCUGACACAGGUGCUGCAUGGCUGUCGUCAGCUCGUGUCGUGAGAUGUUGGGUUAAGUCCCGUAACGAGCGCAACCCUUGUCCUUAGUUACCAGCACGUUAUGGUGGGCACUCUAAGGAGACUGCCGGUGACAAACCGGAGGAAGGUGGGGAUGACGUCAAGUUAUCAUGGCCCUUACGGCCUGGGCUACACACGUGCUACAAUGGUCGGUACAAAGGGUUGCCAAGCCGCGAGGUGGAGCUAAUCCCAUAAAACCGAUCGUAGUCCGGAUCGCAGUCUGCAACUCGACUGCGUGAAGUCGGAAUCGCUAGUAAUCGUGAAUCAGAAUGUCACGGUGAAUACGUUCCCGGGCCUU
rnacentral:rRNA from 1 species